ensembl:lncRNA
AAUCUAUAUGCCUUUCUUCCUUUUGUAGAAUAGAGAAGAAGAUAUUUAAAAAUAAAUACAUAAAUACAUACAUUUUAGUUUUUUUCUUGUCCAUACAGUGAAAUUCAGUGGGGUCCAAUGUUCUUAUAAAUAUAUUUUCGAAAACAUACAGCCACAGAAUAAAGUAAUACGGGUUAGGAAUAAAUAAAUCAUUUUUGUAAAUGUACACUGUUGGUCAUUGACUGAACAGCUUCUAACAUAAUGUAAACAAAGGAUGUAAACAAAACUUUGGAUUACUAAUAUAUUAUUAAUAUAUGUUAUAUUAUUUUUGUUCUUAAUAUUCACAGCAUGUUUUAUAAAGAAUAACAAAGUUAGCUUGAUGUGAUUGGAUGUUUAUGUAGUGUUAGUUAAAGGUCUAGUGUAAUCCAAAACCAUAAUCUUUAAUCAUGAUCUCGAGUUUAUAUUAAUCCCCUUAUCCUACGAUCAUGAGCUUCCAUUUAGAAUCAUUUUAUAAAAUUAAUCUUUAAAAGCCUUCCUGCUCUGACCAAAAAAUAUUUGCUAAAUUGAAUUUGUUUAUCUGCAUUUUAAAUGACCGUAUGGUAUUUUAAUAUUUAAGACAUGCUUUUGUCUCUUUUAUUCAUUCAUUCAUUCAUUCAUUUUAUUUAAUUCAAUUUAAUUUACUUUUUUCUCACAUAUUUCUCAUCUCAGUCUCUUAAACUCACUUUCAGAAAGGCCAGAUGGAGGUUCACCCAACAGGAUCUGAGGUCACCAACAGUCUGCCACAAGCAAGCAAUGAUACCUAAGAAUGUAUAUUAAAGUGCAUGUACUGGUGCUACAGCUUAACACAGAUGACCCGAUUCUCAGAUCUGAUCUGCUGAUUAUUAUUGGGCGCAACUUUCCAAGUAGGUCAUUAACAGUUUCUCACAUUCAUUGCAGUAAAAUUCACUGCCUUGACCAUAUUUCCAUCCUUCAGAAUGAGCAAAAAGGGUCUUGUCAUAUAAUUAGCACAUUGACAUCUUCCAGUAUGUAUUUUGUAUCAUUAAUUUUACAUUUCUAUUUCUUCUACCCACAGGAAAUGAAACAUGAAGGUCAAGAUCAAGUUAGAGAAAUUAAGCAACGCCCCUGCUGCGGAUCGGCAUGCCCCACACAGAGAGAUGGACUCCCAGUAAAAGCUAAUCCUUCACCCUCCGUGUUCUCCAGCUGCUACAAUGGCCAUUCUAGCUCAAAGGACUUGUCAACAACUGGGAAAACUGAAAGCCCUUUUGUUGUGAGUUUGUCUGCAUUAUCUAAAGUGUCCUCAAACCACUCAAUGAAGAACAGGGGUGGACUAUCUGUCAGCCCUGUGCUGUAUAAAAUGUGACUUUAAGCAUUAGUUUGAAUUGUUUGGUUCAAUAAAUGACAGCAGCACUGAUUCUCUGAAAAAUAA